rfam:Ipomoea nil DNA, scaffold: scaffold2144, cultivar: Tokyo-kokei standard.
UCCGUUGUCGUCCUGCGGUUAGGAUAUCUGGCUUUCACUCAGGAGACCAGGGUUCAAUUCUCGACAACGGAA